rnacentral:tRNA from 1 species
CAGGACGUAGUUAAAUGUAGAACAUCUCCCUUACACUGAGAAAGCGCCGGAUCAAAUCAGGUCGUCCUGC